rnacentral:rRNA from 1 species
GAUGAACGCUGGCGGCGUGCCUAAUACAUGCAAGUCGAGCGAACAGAUGAGGAGCUUGCUCCUCUGACGUUAGCGGCGGACGGGUGAGUAACACGUGGAUAACCUACCUAUAAGACUGGGAUAACUUCGGGAAACCGGAGCUAAUACCGGAUAAUAUAUUGAACCGCAUGGUUCAAUAGUGAAAGACGGUUUUGCUGUCACUUAUAGAUGGAUCCGCGCCGCAUUAGCUAGUUGGUAAGGUAACGGCUUACCAAGGCAACGAUGCGUAGCCGACCUGAGAGGGUGAUGGGCCACACUGGAACUUAGACACGGUCCAGACUCCUACGGGAGGCAGCAGUAGGGAAUCUUCCGCAAUGGGCGAAAGCCUGACGGAGCAACGCCGCGUGAGUGAUGAAGGUCUUCGGAUCGUAAAACUCUGUUAUUAGGGAAGAACAAAUGUGUAAGUAACUAUGCACGUCUUGACGGUACCUAAUCAGAAAGCCACGGCUAACUACGUG